rnacentral:rRNA from 1 species
GACGAACGCUGGCGGCGUGCUUAACACAUUCAAGUCGAACGGAAAGGCCCUGCUUUUGUGGGGUGCUCGAGUGGCGAACGGGUGAGUAACACGUGAGUAACCUGCCCUUGACUUUGGGAUAACUUCAGGAAACUGGGGCUAAUACCGGAUAGGAGCUCCUGCUGCAUGGUGGGGGUUGGAAAGUUUCGGCGGUUGGGGAUGGACUCGCGGCUUAUCAGCUUGUUGGUGGGGUAGUGGCUUACCAAGGCUUUGACGGGUAGCCGGCCUGAGAGGGUGACCGGCCACAUUGGGACUGAGAUACGGCCCAGACUCCUACGGGAGGCAGCAGUGGGGAAUAUUGCACAAUGGGCGGAAGCCUGAUGCAGCAACGCCGCGUGCGGGAUGACGGCCUUCGGGUUGUAAACCGCUUUCGCCUGUGACGAAGCGUGUGUGACGGUAAUGGGUAAAGAAGCACCGGCUAACUACGUG